UGCCCCAACAGCCCAUGAUCCCCUAAAAUCUAAGUGUCUCAACUUGGCAGGGAACACAGCCAUUCAGAAACCUAGGCUGACAAUGUUGCCACCCUCUGACAUGAUUGGCUCAGCACAGUACUUCCGAGUUUGAGGCUGUGAGAGAAGAAGCAAUGGUAACCGUUAAGGACCGCCACGUUUUCUUAGGGCUCCUUUACCAAGGUCGUUAUGCCCUCAAGGGAGGCUGAGACGUGCUCCAGUGGAUCCACAGGCUGAAAAGAGCAGCUGUGGAGACAGAAGCAAACAAGCACAGCCUGCAGCUGCUCUGGGUGUCGCCCGUUUCCAAAUCACAGCCCUUCUCGGGGUGUGCGCCCCACCUUCCAGGGCAGGACACCGCGCGCUGGACUCGCAGUCAGAAGGCAGACAGCGCAGACGACAGAAAGCGAGUCGACGACGGGUGCAGUGGGGAUUUCCCGCAGAUCAACACGGAAGCAAUCCCCUUCCGGCAUCCAGGCCCCACAUCCCGAGAGCAGCCGGGGACGCGGGCCUUUCAGCCUCUUACAGGCUUACGUUUGAAGCUCAAGCCCGAGCUGGUAACGAAACUGACAUUAGCCAGAUUCUAAAUUCCAGCCAAAACAAACAGGCUUCGGAGGCCAAAGCCCAAAGCUGUCACUCAAGCAGCAGAGGGUGUUUCCUGCUGAAAGGUCAGGAAGACAGCUCUUCCUUCCUGUCAAUUCUGCCGCCGCGUUUCCUACUGCACCUGUAGUUAUUGCUGGUUGGUACUCGCAGUUUUUAUUUUAUUUUAUUUUACACCCUAAACAAGAGUUUCCCCUCCCUUCCCUCCUCCCCCCAAUACCCACUCCUCCUCCUCCUCCUCCUCCUCCAGUUCUCUUCAGAAAGGGGCCAGCCUCCAUGGACAUCAACCAGCCAUGGCAUAUCAAGUUGCAGUAAGGCUGGGCACCUGCUCUUCUAUUAAGCCGGGGGCUCAUCCGUCGAGGUGUACGGUGCUCUCUUGUGGUACUCAACGGUCUUAAAUGUUUUCAGGCCAGGUCAAGUAGGGCCCAGGUAGAGAGCAGAUGUAACUGUUGACUAGGGUACAUUACCGCUUGCCUUUCUCUUCUUUCUUCUGUUUAUUUGCAGCAGUAAUAGGAAAGAAUACACCCCAAAGCCAAAAAGAGGAGCUAAGAGAAACUCAAGCAUUCUGUUUACAUUUUUAACUAUCUCUGAGAGUUAAGGUCAAGAAACACCAUGGCAAUCACACUGGGAGGAGCUUGUCAUGAGCCUCAGAGGAACUAAGUAGAUGGAUGAAGACGCCUUUGGCAGGAAAAAGUACCUAAACACCCGGUUUUUGAAUCAGCCAUGGUGGCUCAUUCUCUGAAUUUCAUAGUUGAAUUAGGGAAAAAUAAAAACCUUUCUGAGUCUCAUUUGCUAUUGUCCAUAAGAGCAUAGUUCUACUUUAGUGUUUUAACAGACACUCUGCAGUGCAGAAGCCGUCUUCAAGAUGACUCAUUAUAUUCCAGGGACAGGAAGGAAUGCUUGCUCCCCAUCCAGAUUGGAGGCCUCUGAAUAGUAUCGUGGGGUUGGGCAUCUCCUGGAGUGGCACAAGCUGUCUUUUUGCCUUCUCCUAAUGAAGCUGCCUUUCCCAGCAUGGGAUGGGAACACACUUUCCUGCCUGCAGCUGGGGCAGAGCUUGAAGCACGUGGAGGCGCUCCGCUUCUUCUACUGCGGUGCGUCAAGAACUCAGCUCUGCACGCUCUGAUGGCUGCCGUGGACUCCUAGGAACAGCGCCUACUCUGCGUGUGGUCCACACUCACAUCAACCCAAGCCGCAAGCACGACAACUACCAACCCAGAGUGCUGGCUUUGUUCUGGUUUGGAGGGGCAUAGCUACCCCUUCACCGCAAGGCUGAUUAAUUACGUGAUUUGCAUGUGGCAAAUUUAUGCUAAAUUAUAAGCAGCAGGCAGCAAAUGAUGCUGUAAGCAUUUGCACAAUAGUAAUUUUUAGAGAAGGGCUGGUUUGUGAAACAAUGUAAUUAAAUAAGCUAGAAAGGGAAAAUAUUUUUACUCUUCCUAUUUUGCCUUGUCCUGCCUUUCCUACCAAGCUAAGCCUUUUCUUAGAGAUUGCCCCUAACUACUGAUGUGUAAGUGGACCCCAGCUGCCCUUUGAUGUGAUGUGACACUCAAAGAUGACCUCCCAGUAACAAAUGUAGUCAGUUUCUUAAAUCUGCUUCCUGUGUUGUCCAUUGGAACCACAGAAACUUAAGAAUUGAGAGAAAAGGAAAGGAGGCCUCUGCAUCUGAAGAAAGUGACCUGAAGCAAUUUCCACAGGCCAUAGGUCAAGACCCCACAUCAUGCCAGCCAAACGCUGAAAAAUGGCUAAAUCUAAAACUAGAACAACCGACCAGUGCAGUGUGAGGACCCCUGCAGAUGCCUCCUUAGGGGUCCAACAGAGCUGCCACCUCCCUUCUGUUUCCUAAGUCCCACUCAGGGCAUCUUUCCUUGGCCAGAAAGAGCCCGUCUGCUCAGGAUCCACAGAUAAUUCCAUGAGACACAAAUCCUAUCUCUGGCUUCACCAACAGGUUCAACAUUACAUACCUGCAGCAUCAUAAGUAGACUAAGAUCUUUAAAGCAGGCAGCAUUGGUCAACCGUUAUUUUCUUAUCCUGCUAUAAUUGAUACAAAAGCGAGGAAGCUCCCCUUGGCCUCCUCGUUGCUGUGGUGUACAGCAGGUAAUUGAGGGAAGGCCAAGACCCCAGCUUGACCCAGAUCCAAAACAUACCCCUUCUCAGUUGCAGUUACAACAUUAUGCCUCUCUGCGGUCUCCUACCUACACACCUUUAUAUUUUUUCUGAAGUAAAUUAACUAUUUAUUCAGCCUCUUUUCAUGACAAAAUGUUCUGUGCAUAUUUCAGUAUGAUCAGCAAACAGUCUGAAGCAGGCAAAACUGUACAACAAGUUAUAGUUCAUAUCACCUGAUUAAAUAAAAGUAUAAGAUAAA